rnacentral:rRNA from 1 species
UGGGGAAUUUUGCGCAAUGGGGGAAACCCUGACGCAGCAACGCCGCGUGGAGGAUGAAAUCCCUUGGGAUGUAAACUCCUUUCGAUCGGGACGAUUAUGACGGUACCGGAAGAAGAAGCCCCGGCUAACUUCGUGCCAGCAGCCGCGGUAAUACGAGGGGGGCGAGCGUUGUUCGGAAUUAUUGGGCGUAAAGGGUGCGUAGGCGGUUUGAUAAGUCUUAUGUGAAAUCUCUGGGCUCAACCCAGAGUCUGCAUAGGAAACUGUCGGGCUUGAGUAUGGGAGAGGUGAGUGGAAUUUCCGGUGUAGCGGUGAAAUGCGUAGAUAUCGGAAGGAACACCUGUGGCGAAAGCGGCUCACUGGACCAUUACUGACGCUGAUGCACGAAAGCUAGGGGAGCAAACAGGAUUAGAUACCCUGGUAGUCCUAGCCCUAAACGAUGAUUGCUUGAUGUGGAGGGUACCCAAUCCUUCCGUGUCGAAGCUAACGCGAUAAGCAAUCCGCCUGGGGAGUACGGUCGCAAGGCUG